GACGAACGCUGGCGGCGUGCUUAACACAUGCACGUCGAACGGAAAGGCCCUGCUUGCAGGGUACUCGAGUGGCGAACGGGUGAGUAACACGUGGGUGAUCUGCCCUGCACUUCGGGAUAAGCCUGGGAAACUGGGUCUAAUACCGGAUAGGAGCCAUUUUUAGUGUGAUGGUUGGAAAGUUUUUUCGGUGUAGGAUGAGCUCGCGGCCUAUCAGCUUGUUGGUGGGGUAAUGGCCUACCAAGGCGGCGACGGGUAGCCGGCCUGAGAGGGUGGACGGCCACAUUGGGACUGAGAUACGGCCCAGACUCCUACGGGAGGCAGCAGUGGGGAAUAUUGCACAAUGGGCGCAAGCCUGAUGCAGCGACGCCGCGUGGGGGAUGACGGCCUUCGGGUUGUAAACUCCUUUCGCUAGGGACGAAGCUUUUUGUGACGGUACCUAGAUAAGAAGCACCGGCUAACUACGUG
rnacentral:rRNA from 1 species